AACUAAGCCUUUUCAUUUCUUGCCUCACAACCACCUUGGAACACACAUUCAUUUACCUCCUGUUAUAAAUUAGUGGACACCGCGUACUGAAAAUUGCAGAUAGGUGUCCCAAAUUCACCAUUUUAAGAAAACUCCACUCCACCUCUCCCACCCCCUUUCUUUCUCACUCAUUUUCUUAUGUGAGAGAGGAGGUAGCUAGGCUGAGUUUCUAGCUAGAGCUAUAUCAGCGAUAUCAAGUGAAGAGAAGGUGUGUGUGAGCAAGAUGGAGAAGCAGGGCACGUGCAUUACUAACUCAUGCACACAGAGUGAGAGAGACAUUUCUUGCUGGAGUUAUGACUCUUACCUACUAUAGAUUUUGUUGGCUUCAGCGAGUUAGUUCUUCAUGUGCCUGUCUUCCCCAUCAUGAUCACUACCACACCUAUAUUAUUAGCUCAUCUGGGCACUUCAUAUAGGAUCGAGAGAAUCUCCUCUUCAGGGACUGAAUUCAUGCAUGCAGGUAGUGGGUGUCUAUCAAUGUUGCUCUCAGUCUUCACCAAUACAACCGAUUAGAGAUGAGUGGAGCAAAACCAUCGAGGCAUGAGUUCCCAAGAAAAGUGAUGUCUUAUUAUCAUGGAUAUAUAGCAUUUUGGCCACCAUCCAGGGGACAGUACAAGAUAGCAAUGGCCACCGCAGAUAUUGCCUCUAAUCCAUCCAAUUUAGCUCUUUUGUUUUCCCCUCUCAACCACGUUUGAAUGACAGUGAAAUGCCAUUCACAGCAUCUUGCCUUCUUAUCAAAUACCUUUCGUUUACCCGAGUUUUUAGAGUGAUCGAGAUUGCAAGCAACCUUAGAAAAUGAUGGCUUUUACAUGUAAAUCUUUCAUUUUCUUCAAGUUGCUCAAGUUAUCUUUUUUCCCUCCUUGUUAAUGAUGGUUUUUAUAUCUAAAGCAACUCUUUCAUUUUA